UGUCAAGGGAUGAGAAUCGAACCAACGACCUUCCGCUUACCGGGCAGAUGCCAUGACCACUAGGCUACCCUGGAC
rnacentral:tRNA from 1 species